rnacentral:rRNA from 1 species
AAUCAACGCUGGCGGCGUGCCUCAGACAUGCAAGUCGAACGAUUAAAGCUCUCUUCGGAGAGUGUAUAGAGUGGCGCACGGGUGAGUAACACGUAAGUAAUCUACCCUCGAGUGGGGAAUAACAACCGGAAACGGUUGCUAAUACCGCAUAAUGCAGCGGCACCGCAAGGUGACAGUUGUUAAAGAUUUAUCGCUUGAGGAGGAGCUUGCGGCAGAUUAGCUAGUUGGUAGGGUAACGGCUUACCAAGGCUACGAUCUGUAACCGGUCUAAGAGGACGGUCGGUCACACUGACACUGAAUAACGGGUCAGACUCCUACGGGAGGCAGCAGUCGGGAAUUUUGGGCAAUGGGCGAAAGCCUGACCCAGCAACGCCGCGUGAAGGAUGAAGUAUUUCGGUAUGUAAACUUCGAAAGAAUAGGAAGAAUUAAUGACGGUACUAUUUAUAAGGUCCGGCUAACUACGUGCCAGCAGCCGCGGUAAAGUAUCGU